rnacentral:rRNA from 1 species
GAUGAACGCUGGCGGCGUGCUUAACACAUGCAAGUCGAACGAGGUCCAACCUUCGGGUGAAGACCUAGUGGCGAACGGGUGAGUAACACGUGGGCAAUCUGCCCUCCACUCUGGGAUAACCCCCGGAAACGGGAGCUAAUACCGGAUACUUCGGAAUGGUCGCAUGGCCGAUCCGAGAAAGCUCCGGCGGUGGAGGAUGAGCCCGCGGCCCAUUAGCUUGUUGGCGGGGUAACGGCCCACCAAGGCGACGAUGGGUAGCCGAGCUGAGAGGCUGAUCGGCCACACUGGGACUGAGACACGGCCCAGACUCCUACGGGAGGCAGCAGUGGGGAAUAUUGGACAAUGGGGGGAACCCUGAUCCAGCCAUGCCGCGUGUGUGAAGAAGGCCUUAUGGUUGUAAAGCACUUUAAGCGAGGAGGAGGCUCUUUUGGUUAAUACCCAAGAUGAGUGGACGUUACUCGCAGAAUAAGCACCGGCUAACUCUGUGCCAGCCGCCGCAGUAAAAC